AUCCCAUCCACCCUCCUUUUACGCAAAAAUUUACUAAUUUUGAAUAGAAGAAAUUACAGCAAAUUCUACUUUUCGUAUGCGUUUGCGAAACGUUCGAUCCUUCGGUCGUUGCGAAGCUAAACCGAUUUCGACAGCUAAAGCACCCAUAAUUACGCACGCACUUAAUACAAAUCUAACUACAAGCAUUGAAAGCAUUGGAAGCAUUGAAAGCAUUGGAAGCAUCGAAAGCAGCUUAAAAUUGUUGUACCUACGAAUUUCAAAACACCCUCUAUAUUCUACCUAAUACAGAGCUCUCAUGGGUUCUAACUACCAUAUAUUUAAACAUAAUGAAGAGACAGAGAGAAUGGGUAUUUUAUAAAAUGAUAUCUUCAGUGUUGUGCAUCGCGAAAUUCUUCUUUACAUGUAUCUGUCCUAUCUAUCAGAGACGUGAACGGGAUCUUUAUAGAUCCUAACUAUCACUAGUCUUGAUACCUUUUUAAAUCCUACUUGUGAGAAAUUUGAAGGUUUCUCCAUUAACCCUAUCGGUCAGGAUUUAGGAAGGUUCUUUUAUAAGUCCUGACCAGAAAAUUUUAAAGAUCCAUCUAUGGGGGUCUGAUAUAAGAAAGAUCUAUUCAUAUAAAGAAAUGGAAUGGGAAAUUGUAUUGUAUAGGGCAUUGUAUAGGGCAAGCGUGGGACGUAAGUGUCCUUCCGUCGAUCUCACAAUAGAUCCUGAAAUAAACUUAAACCAUACAAAAAUUAGUGCACUUCUAUAAAUAUAUAUAGUUAGAUAACAAUAAAAGGGACUCAAAUGUGACUUCUUCAUACAUGUUUCUUCUCCGUAAAUCAUUUUUUUAAAUCCAUACUAUUUCACUUCCUAGUCGUUUGUUCAUAGGUACUUGAGAAGUCGUUAAGAUUUCAUAUGCAUAAUUUAUACUUCCUACAAGUUAAUCAAUCUGGAACAUACUCAUUUAUUGGAUUAGUACAUUAAAAAAAGAACCUGGAAGGAAGACAUAUUAGACACAAGAAGAUAUCAAAUUACCAAGACACGAGAUUCGAUCUAAGAAUUUGAAUUGAAAAAUUUGAAUCUAAAUUUAACUUGGGUUCUUAAUUGAAUUGAAGUUCUAAGAUGAAGGAAGAACAGAUAAAAAUCACCUGGUUUAUUUCUUAACGAUCCAAUUAAUUUGACAACGAGCUUGUAACAACUUCAUUUACCAAAUUGAUUCAUAACCAAUUCAUAUUUAUUAUUUAAGAUAAAUAUUACAAUAACGAAUAUUCAGGUUAUUCAUUCUAAAAAGAUGUACUGAUCAUUCUUGCUUGCGUAUUUUUCAAAUAAAUUAAUAGUGGGAUGAUAUACAAAAAUAUCUUUUUUCCUUUUUGACUACAUUUUUUUACUUUUCCUUAAAUGCAAUAUGAAAUUAUUUAAUGGA